rnacentral:rRNA from 1 species
GACGAACGCUGGCGGCGUGCUUAACACAUGCAAGUCGAACGAAGUGGCGAACGGGUGAGUAACGCGUAAGCAACCUGCCCUUCAGAGGGGGACAACAGUUGGAAACGACUGCUAAUACCGCAUACUGAAGGAGGGGAUUGCGUCUGAUUAGCUAGUUGGAGGGGUAAUGGCCAACCAAGGCGAUGCUCAGUAGGCGGUCUUAGAGGGUGGACGGCCACAUUGGGACUGGGAAACGGCCCAGACUCCUACGGGGGGCAGCAGUGGGGAAUCUUCCGCAAUGGAGGAAAGUCUGACGGAGCAACUGCGCGUGAGUGAUGGCGGCCUUCGGGGUGUAAAGCUCUGUUAAUCGGGGCGCGUUACCGGAAUAGAAAGCCACGGCUAACUACGUGCCAGCCGCCGCGGUAAUAC